UACGUAGGGGGCGAGCGUUAUCCGGAUUUACUGGGCGUAAAGCGCGUUAAGGCGGUCGGCAAAGUUGGGGGUGAAAUCUUCGGGCUCAACCCGGAAACUGCCCCCAAUACUGGUCGACUGGAGUGUGAGAGAGGAAGGUGGAAUUCCCGGUGUAGUAGUGAAAUGCGUAGAUAUCGGGAGGAACACCAGUGGCGAAGGCGGCCUUCUGGCUCAUAACUGACGCUGUAGCGCGAAAGCGUGGGGAGCGAACCGG
rnacentral:rRNA from 1 species